rnacentral:lncRNA from 1 species
UUUUUUUUUUUUUUGUUUUUUUUUUUUUUUUUAUACGACAUUCACUUAUUAUUCAUUGACUGCAAAGCUACCCCAAACUUAAAGGUUGCUAUACCAACAGCAACCCCAACUUAGAUAGAAACGUAGAUAUGAAAUCACUUCACACAUACUCUGAACAGGUAAGAUAGGUCCAGGGUCAUGGGUUUAGAAAAAAAAAAACGGGUAUAUCAACAUAAAUGAUUAAAGGCUCAACGGGGCGGUAAAACAAUGGAUAAUAAUGAUAAUAAUGUGAGGGAAGGCUAGAAAGGCUCUAGGUGAUAACAAAAAACAUGCCUCAGUGUGUGUAUUCGUACAGCUAAUAAUAACAAAAGAACGUACGCAAACCAAGAUUGAUAAAGACAUACCUGAUAUCGCUCAU